UGCGCGCGCGGGAAGGCGCGCGGGGCCGGGGGCGCCUGAGGGGCCGCGAUGGCGGCUGAGGCGAUGGGGCGGGGGCGGGAGCGGGUCUCGCAUCCCCGCGUCCUGCCGGAGGUGCGGGGGGAAACGCGGCCAGUGGAUGGGACCUGCCAUCGUGUUGUUGUGAAGUAAUUACUGAGCUCUGAAGAGAGUGUUUGAGGCUGUGCUACCCUUCUCAGGAGAAACAAGGAUAAAGAGAAUCAUUCUUCUACAAGAAAAUGUAGUUUGAAAGAUACCAGGGGCACUGGGCCCUAUUCUGCAUGGGCUGUAGCAGGAUAAAGUUUCAUUAAGUAAGCAUGUAAACCAAUAAGAAUGGAUGUCUGCAACAGAAAAAGAAAAGAAAGAGAGGUCUGAUUCAUACAGAAUUGAACUUCCGGGGUGAAACCCAACAUGAAGUAAAAUGAGAACAAAAGAGAAGAAUUUAAUCUCCGCUGGCGCCGCUUGAAGAGCCUGGCCCCUCUGUUGCUGAGCGUCGACAGCUCCUCCACCAUGAUAUCUCUGGGCGUGCUGACCUUUUUCCCAAGGUUCAGGGUGGGUGAGACUGCAAUGCAAGGGGCCUUUCAAGCUCACUGCAGGAACAACAGCCCUGGUGCAAUUCCAGGAAGGAAGCAGAACUCCUGGAGUCAGCAUGGCAGGGACAUGUCUUGCUGUUCACCAUGCAUUCUAGCAGGGUCAAUGGAGAAUCCCUUUCAGCUGCAGCAUCCUUUGGCCUUCAGACAACUGAAAUAUCAGUUAUGGAACAGCAACAGGCAGGAGUCAAAGUAUGUGGAGCUAUUUCUAUGGCUGAAGAGAAGACAGCUGGUCAGCCACAAAUAUCAUUCUUACAAGUGCAGCUCCAAUAGCCACGUUAUGAAUUAAAAGCAGAAGAAUGCAGCUAUCACGUGAGGAACACUCAGCUGCUCCCCUGCUGAACCAGGAGCAGGAGCUGUGCACUCUGGGGAAGGUAAGCUCAAAUCCUCAGCUACCACUGUCCCCCUGAUCCUGUCACAGUGAUCUAUUACUCAGCCCCAGACAACAUAUACACACAGGCCAUGCAAAAUGUCUGUUAUAAAUAAAAUGAGCAUUCCUUGAGAACAUCUAGUUUUGAAGGCAGACUGUCACUUUGAACUGCCAAACACUGGAGGAAAGCUCCUUUCUCCAGGUUGCAGGAACCAUGCGGAAUUUCACAUACUGCGUAGACAUGCCUGGUAACCAGAGAGAAGUGCCUGUUUUCAGCCUUUCCAGGGACACUGCUCUGGUAGCUGUCAUGGCUAAUUCUGAUCCUUUCCUGGUCCUGCCUGUGAGAGGGAUCUGCAGUAGCUCUGGGGGGAGCCUUGAGUCCUUACAAGGAGUGUGGGAGUUUCAAGACUUUUCUUCCUCUUCUUACCCCCACUGAAGGCAACUCAGAGUUCAUCCUGUCUGAAUUCACAGUCUGGGGACAAUGUGCUUUCCCGUAGGUGGCUCUGAAAUCAGGCUGCCUUUAUUACCCUGAUGGCAAUUACAGAGCAGACAUUGGAAUAGAGUCUGUUCAGUGAGCAGUAAUGCUGGCCUGCUUGCAAGUUUGCAGGAAGCUUCUCUGCUCUAAGAAACUUAAAGCAUUUUCAAAGAAAACUGAAAUUCCCUCUCACUAUUUUACAAAGGCAGAAACUGAGACCCAGAGAGCUGUGACUUCCCCCACCUCAUCUAGUGAGGUGAUAACAGCUACAGAAAUAGAAUUCAUGACUUCCAGCCCCUCUCCUCCUCCUGACCACUAACACAUUUUGCCACCCAAGAAGACCAUUUGCCAUGUCAUCAUCAAGGCAUAUCUGGGUAGCACAGUUUCUCCAUCUAUGCAGCCUUUGUUUAAUGUAAGCCUCACUUCCCUAUCUGUGGGGAAUAACAACACUUCACUGCUUCAAAGGGGUGCAGGGAAUAACUGAACUCAAGGCUCUGCAGUAUGCAUAUAUGGUAGUAGACACCUUGCAAGUAUUAAUACUUACAUUUGGAGACUGUACUAUUAAUUCUGUGCCUGACUGCUGCUGUUCAAAUUAUAUACAUUAAUUCCUUCAGCUCAAAUUCUCUGUCUUCCUUUUCCAUCCAAGCAGAGUUACAGACAUUACCAACAGGACUAUCAGAACCUCCCAGUAUAAGUCUGCAAAACGAGUGGGUUCAAAGCCAGCAUUUUCCAGGUGAUUCACUGAAUUGUACCAAAGCAUCCUGAGCAUUCCUGUACCUCUUGAUAAGCAUCUGCAGGACGUCAGUCAGGCUUUCCAUCAGAACAAUGACUUCAGCAUAGGUUAGGUCUCCACAAGGCUUGCCAUUGAUAGACACCACCUCAUCCCCCUCACACAGUCCAGCCUUGGCUGCUUUGCUUUUGCUGCGAACCUACAACAAAAGAAAAAUUCCAAAUUGUCAAAGAAAAAUUCCAAAUUGCACAAUUAGUGUUCAUUUGAAAACAGCAGCAACCAUGUCCUCAGCAUACUUUUUGUCUGUGCAAAAGGAUCAAUAAGAUUGAUCAUAAACAAA